rnacentral:rRNA from 1 species
UGUCUCCUCCAUACCGCCCUGAGAAUGCCCGAGCUCAUCUGAUCUCGGAAGCUAAGCAGGAUCGGGCCCGGUUAGUACCUGGAUGGGAGACGGCUAGGGAGCGCCGGGUGCGUAGCCUUGGU